rnacentral:lncRNA from 1 species
CAGUGAGCUGAGAUCACACCACUGCACUCCAGCGUGAGUGAUACAGUGAGACUCCAUCUCAAACAAACAACAACAACAAAAUAAAUAAAUAUAAAGGGAGUUUUUUCCAGGGGAGGGGGCAGUGAUGGGCUAUUCUUCAGAAGCAGGAACUUCCUUCAUAUCUUAAAGCUCAUGAAUGAACAAGGGGAUCAUAAAGCAUCAGAAAUUGAAGCUUCUUAUUUUGCAGAUGAGAAAACUGGGUCUGAGAAUCCAGAUGUCCUGAGUGAGUAAAGGGAAAAUUUUCACUUCUUCCUAUGGAAGCCUGUCACCCCCCAACUCCAUCCUAGGCUGAGGAAGUCUGCGUUCUUCUCUCACGGAGCUGGAGAACCUUUCAAGUGAUUGGCCUAAGAACAGGCAGGAGACGCGAUCUGGACCAAUCAGAAACUUACAUUGAGAUGGUGGGCCUUGCUAUGUUGCUCAGGCUGGUCUUGAACUCCUGACCUCAAGUGAUCCUCCUGCCUCAGCCUCCUUGAGUAACUGGAAUUACAGGUGUGUGCCAACUUGCCUGACUAAAAUGUUUAAUUUUUAUAAAUCUAAUCGUUAAACAUGACUAUAUAGCCAGCCUUAAUUCUAAGUGCCAAUAUUACAUAAAACGUAGUAAACUUUCGACUUAAAAUUGUAAGUCUAGGCUGGGUAUGGUGGCUCACGUGUGUAAUCCUAACACUUUUGGUGACGAGAAGGGAUGAUCUCUUGAGCCCAGGAGUUUGAAACCAGUCUGGGUAACAUAGAAAAACUCCCAUUUCUAAAAAAAAUUUAUAAAGUAGCCAACAGUGGUAGUGUGUGCCUGCAGUCCCAGCUACCAGGAGGCUGAGGUGGGAGGAUGGUUUGAGCCCAGGAGUUUGCGGCUGCAGUGAGCUAUGAUCGUGCCACUGCACUCAGACCGGAGUGAGACCCUGUCUCUACUGAAAAAAACCCACAGAAACCCAAAUAUAUAUAUAUAUUUAUAUAAAAAAGAUUUCAACAUAUGAAUUUUUGGGGGGAACAAAUAGUCCAUAACAAAUAUUAUAAGUACUAUAUUAUUAAUACUUCCAGAUUCCUUAAUAUCAAGAUAUUAGUAGUACAAGUUUCACUCUCUUAAAAAUUUCUUUCUUUCUUUCUUUCUUUCUUUCUUUCUUUCUUUCUUUUUUGAGAUAGGGUCUUGCUCUGUUGCCCAGGCUAGAGUACAGUGGCACAGUCUUGG